rnacentral:rRNA from 1 species
AGAACGAACGCUGGCGGCAUGCUUAAUACAUGCAAGUCGAACGAACUCUUCGGAGUUAGUGGCGCACGGGUGCGUAACGCGUGGGAAUCUGCCCCUUGGUUCGGAAUAACAGUUGGAAACGACUGCUAAUACCGGAUGAUGACGAAAGUCCAAAGAUUUAUCGCCAAGGGAUGAGCCCGCGUAGGAUUAGCUAGUUGGUGAGGUAAAGGCUCACCAAGGCAACGAUCCUUAGCUGGUCUGAGAGGAUGAUCAGCCACACUGGGACUGAGACACGGCCCAGACUCCUACGGGAGGCAGCAGUAGGGAAUAUUGGACAAUGGGCGAAAGCCUGAAUCCAGCAAUGCCGCGUGAGUGAUGAAGGCCUUAGGGUUGUAAAGCUCUUUACCCGAGAUGAUAAUGACAGUAUCGGAAGAAUAAGCCCCGGCUAACCUCCGUGCCAGCAGCCCGAC